AUUGAACGCUGGCGGCAGGCCUAACACAUGCAAGUCGGACGGUAGCACAGAGAGCUUGCUCUCGGGUGACGAGUGGCGGACGGGUGAGUAAUGUCUGGGGAUCUGCCCGAUAGAGGGGGAUAACCACUGGAAACGGUGGCUAAUACCGCAUAAUGUCGCAAGACCAAAGAGGGGGACCUUCGGGCCUCUGGCCAUCAGCUGCGCCCAGAUGGGAUUAGCUAGUAGGUGGGGUAAUGGCUCACCUAGGCGACGAUCCCUAGCUGGUCUGGGAGGAUGACCAGCCACACUGGAACUGAGACACGGUCCAGACUCCUACGGGAGGCAGCAGUGGGGAAUAUUGCACAAUGGGCGCAAGCCUGAUGCAGCCAUGCCGCGUGUAUGAAGAAGGCCUUCGGGUUGUAAAGUACUUUCAGCGAGGAGGAAGGCGAUAAGGUUAAUAACCUUGUCGAUUGACGUUACUCGCAGAAGAAGCACCGGCUAACUCCGUGCCAGCCGCCGCCGUAA
rnacentral:rRNA from 1 species